GGUUAAGCGACUAAGCGUACACGGUGGAUGCCCUGGCAGUCAGAGGCGAUGAAGGACGUGCUAAUCUGCGAUAAGCGUCGGUAAGGUGAUAUGAACCGUUAUAACCGGCGAUUUCCGAAUGGGGAAACCCAGUGUGUUUCGACACACUAUCAUUAACUGAAUCCAUAGGUUAAUGAGGCGAACCGGGGGAACUGAAACAUCUAAGUACCCCGAGGAAAAGAAAUCAACCGAGAUUCCCCCAGUAGCGGCGAGCGAACGGGGAGCAGCCCAGAGCCUGAAUCAGUAUGUGUGUUAGUGGAAGCGUCUGGAAAGGCGCGCGAUACAGGGUGACAGCCCCGUACACAAAAAUGCACAUAUUGUGAGCUCGAUGAGUAGGGCGGGACACGUGGUAUCCUGUCUGAAUAUGGGGGGACCAUCCUCCAAGGCUAAAUACUCCUGACUGACCGAUAGUGAACCAGUACCGUGAGGGAAAGGCGAAAAGAACCCCGGCGAGGGGAGUGAAAAAGAACCUGAAACCGUGUACGUACAAGCAGUGGGAGCACGCUUAGGCGUGUGACUGCGUACCUUUUGUAUAAUGGGUCAGCGACUUAUAUUCUGUAGCAAGGUUAACCGAAUAGGGGAGCCGAAGGGAAACCGAGUCUUAACUGGGCGUUAAGUUGCAGGGUAUAGACCCGAAACCCGGUGAUCUAGCCAUGGGCAGGUUGAAGGUUGGGUAACACUAACUGGAGGACCGAACCGACUAAUGUUGAAAAAUUAGCGGAUGACUUGUGGCUGGGGGUGAAAGGCCAAUCAAACCGGGAGAUAGCUGGUUCUCCCCGAAAGCUAUUUAGGUAGCGCCUCGUGAAUUCAUCUCCGGGGGUAGAGCACUGUUUCGGCAAGGGGGUCAUCCCGACUUACCAACCCGAUGCAAACUGCGAAUACCGGAGAAUGUUAUCACGGGAGACACACGGCGGGUGCUAACGUCCGUCGUGAAGAGGGAAACAACCCAGACCGCCAGCUAAGGUCCCAAAGUCAUGGUUAAGUGGGAAACGAUGUGGGAAGGCCCAGACAGCCAGGAUGUUGGCUUAGAAGCAGCCAUCAUUUAAAGAAAGCGUAAUAGCUCACUGGUCGAGUCGGCCUGCGCGGAAGAUGUAACGGGGCUAAACCAUGCACCGAAGCUGCGGCAGCGACACUAUGUGUUGUUGGGUAGGGGAGCGUUCUGUAAGCCUGUGAAGGUGUGCUGUGAGGCAUGCUGGAGGUAUCAGAAGUGCGAAUGCUGACAUAAGUAACGAUAAAGCGGGUGAAAAGCCCGCUCGCCGGAAGACCAAGGGUUCCUGUCCAACGUUAAUCGGGGCAGGGUGAGUCGACCCCUAAGGCGAGGCCGAAAGGCGUAGUCGAUGGGAAACAGGUUAAUAUUCCUGUACUUGGUGUUACUGCGAAGGGGGGACGGAGAAGGCUAUGUUGGCCGGGCGACGGUUGUCCCGGUUUAAGCGUGUAGGCUGGUUUUCCAGGCAAAUCCGGAAAAUCAAGGCUGAGGCGUGAUGACGAGGCACUACGGUGCUGAAGCAACAAAUGCCCUGCUUCCAGGAAAAGCCUCUAAGCAUCAGGUAACAUCAAAUCGUACCCCAAACCGACACAGGUGGUCAGGUAGAGAAUACCAAGGCGCUUGAGAGAACUCGGGUGAAGGAACUAGGCAAAAUGGUGCCGUAACUUCGGGAGAAGGCACGCUGAUAUGUAGGUGAAGUCCCUUGCGGAUGGAGCUGAAAUCAGUCGAAGAUACCAGCUGGCUGCAACUGUUUAUUAAAAACACAGCACUGUGCAAACACGAAAGUGGACGUAUACGGUGUGACGCCUGCCCGGUGCCGGAAGGUUAAUUGAUGGGGUCAGCGCAAGCGAAGCUCUUGAUCGAAGCCCCGGUAAACGGCGGCCGUAACUAUAACGGUCCUAAGGUAGCGAAAUUCCUUGUCGGGUAAGUUCCGACCUGCACGAAUGGCGUAAUGAUGGCCAGGCUGUCUCCACCCGAGACUCAGUGAAAUUGAACUCGCUGUGAAGAUGCAGUGUACCCGCGGCAAGACGGAAAGACCCCGUGAACCUUUACUAUAGCUUGACACUGAACAUUGAGCCUUGAUGUGUAGGAUAGGUGGGAGGCUUUGAAGUGUGGACGCCAGUCUGCAUGGAGCCGACCUUGAAAUACCACCCUUUAAUGUUUGAUGUUCUAACGUUGACCCGUAAUCCGGGUUGCGGACAGUGUCUGGUGGGUAGUUUGACUGGGGCGGUCUCCUCCUAAAGAGUAACGGAGGAGCACGAAGGUUGGCUAAUCCUGGUCGGACAUCAGGAGGUUAGUGCAAUGGCAUAAGCCAGCUUGACUGCGAGCGUGACGGCGCGAGCAGGUGCGAAAGCAGGUCAUAGUGAUCCGGUGGUUCUGAAUGGAAGGGCCAUCGCUCAACGGAUAAAAGGUACUCCGGGGAUAACAGGCUGAUACCGCCCAAGAGUUCAUAUCGACGGCGGUGUUUGGCACCUCGAUGUCGGCUCAUCACAUCCUGGGGCUGAAGUAGGUCCCAAGGGUAUGGCUGUUCGCCAUUUAAAGUGGUACGCGAGCUGGGUUUAGAACGUCGUGAGACAGUUCGGUCCCUAUCUGCCGUGGGCGCUGGAGAACUGAGGGGGGCUGCUCCUAGUACGAGAGGACCGGAGUGGACGCAUCACUGGUGUUCGGGUUGUCAUGCCAAUGGCACUGCCCGGUAGCUAAAUGCGGAAGAGAUAAGUGCUGAAAGCAUCUAAGCACGAAACUUGCCCCGAGAUGAGUUCUCCCUGACCCUUUAAGGGUCCUGAAGGAACGUUGAAGACGACGACGUUGAUAGGCCGGGUGUGUAAGCGCAGCGAUGCGUUGAGCUAACCGGUACUAAUGAACCGUGAGGCUUAACCUU
rnacentral:rRNA from 1 species